rnacentral:rRNA from 1 species
CUUGGUCAUUUAGAGGAAGUAAAAGUCGUAACAAGGUUUCCGUAGGUGAACCUGCGGAAGGAUCAUUACUGAGUGAGGGCCCUCUGGGUCCAACCUCCCACCCGUGUUUAUUUACCUUGUUGCUUCGGCGGGCCCGCCUUAACUGGCCGCCGGGGGGCUUACGCCCCCGGGCCCGCGCCCGCCGAAGACACCCUCGAACUCUGUCUGAAGAUUGUAGUCUGAGUGAAAAUAUAAAUUAUUUAAAACUUUCAACAACGGAUCUCUUGGUUCCGGCAUCGAUGAAGAACGCAGCGAAAUGCGAUACGUAAUGUGAAUUGCAAAUUCAGUGAAUCAUCGAGUCUUUGAACGCACAUUGCGCCCCCUGGUAUUCCGGGGGGCAUGCCUGUCCGAGCGUCAUUGCUGCCCUCAAGCACGGCUUGUGUGUUGGGCCCCGUCCUCCGAUUCCGGGGGACGGGCCCGAAAGGCAGCGGCGGCACCGCGUCCGGUCCUCGAGCGUAUGGGGCUUUGUCACCCGCUCUGUAGGCCCGGCCGGCGCUUGCCGAUCAACCCAAAUUUUUAUCCAGGUUGACCUCGGAUCAGGUAGGGAUACCCGCUGAACUUAAGCAUAUCAAUAAGCGGAGGA